CACGUGACCAAUGACCAUCCUAGUUGAAAUACCAUCCGGUGCGUAUUUACUAAGGUAACAAACAUAUUUUCUUAAUGUUUAUAAGAAUAAUUAUGCAAACCAAAGCAAGUAGACAAUUAGAAUGAUUUAUUAGUAAAUAUUGAUCGGCUUACAUGUACGUAUUUUCCUUUGAAAAUAUCUACUUUCGUUUUUGUAAUGUCAGCUGGCUGUGGUGUGUUAUCAUUAUUUUGUUUGUUCUUUCGUAUUUGGGAUACAAUUGAAAAAAUUACAUACUUUAGUCUUCGUUUGUGUUGUUUUACAUUUGGUCAUGCUGGUUCUUUUGUAGAUUACUUCAUGAUAUGGAUUUUUACAUUGUUGCAUAUCAUACAAUGACGCGUAUGUCAUUUGAUAUCUUGUGGAUCAUUAAUAACUUCAUAUUUUUGUUUUUAUUUUUACAUUGAUAAUUUCUUUGUUUAUGUCUUAUUCAAGUGACAAUAUUUAUUUUUAUUUGUCGUGAAAAAGAUAUUUUCACCAGGAACACUAGAAGCUAGUAAGUGUAAAUGUACAUAAACAAGUACGAGAAAUAUGGUUCAAAGGGACAUAAUUAAGCCAAAUCCAUCUAAUAUAUUAUGGGCCAUAUAAUAUUCGAGUUUGGCAUCUUAUACUUAAUAUGAUUUAGAAAGAAGGUAUGAACGAAGUUGACAUUUCAAAAGUUAUUAUAAUAAGUCCAGACUAUGAAAACAAUGUUGAUUAAAUAAAUAAAUGAACAGGUUAAUAUAAGCUGGACACUUAAGUGCAGAAAGGAUCCUCUGGUUUAAUAAAUAUCUCUACAAACUAUAGACUGUUUCGGGAUUUUUUAAAGAUUGUUUUUAACAAAGAAGUUAACAGCCUGAAAACAAUGCAAAUAGGUCAGACAGAAUACAAAACUAUCAUUACUAUAUAAGCCUAAUGUCUAAUGUCUAACAAACAAUUGUUGCAUGCUAAUUAGUACAUGUAGGUUUUAAUUACUUUUUUAUUUUCGAACUCAAGUGCACAAAAUGUUACCGUCUCCUGUUAUAUAUAUAAUAUUGGUCCACAAAUAUUUUCUUUGAACAAAACAAAAUGCACAAAUUUACCGUAUAACUUAAAAAAAAAAGUGAUUUUGUAGACCGGGAAAGGUCUUCUGAACAAUAGCCUUAAUUAUAUUUGAUUUGAUAUUAUCUUGCAGUUUUGUGAUAUGGCCUCAUCCUCCCAAAGUUGUGGUGUGUGUGACCUCCGACACAUCAACAAACCAUCAAUAAUCUGGUGUACGGAAUGUGAUGAAGGGCUUUGUCAAGAUUGUCAGGAACACCAUAGUUUAUCCAAGGGAACCAGAAACCAUAACACCAUAACAAUAAAGGAAUAUAAAACAUUACCAAGUGAAGUACUUAAAAUCACUCAAUACUGUAGCACACACAAUGACAAAUUUAUAAUGUAUUGCCGGAAACACGAACGUCCCUGCUGCAGAAAAUGUAUAGUUGAAACUCAUAAAGAAUGCCUGGAUAUCGAUAAUUUAGAAGACGUCAUUAAAAAUGUAAAAGCCUCAAAUGCCUUCCACGAUAUUGAAGAAACAUUGGUUGAAGUAGCAGAAAAUUUUAAGAAAAUCAGUCAACAUCAGCAAAAGAAUCUGUUGAAUUUGAAAGAAAAAAGAAAACAAAUUGAAAAAGAAAUUCAAAAGACCCGUACAACAAUCAACAACCAUCUGGACAAAUUACAAGGAGAUUUGAUAAAACAACUUAAUGCUAUUGAAGAAACCCAGAACUCGAAAAUGUGUCAGUUGUUGUCAUCACUUGAACAGAGAGAAAAAGAAAUAACCAAAUACCAGCAAAACCUUGCAAGCAUUAAACAACACGCCUCAGACCUUCAGAAUUUUCUUUCACUUA
rnacentral:lncRNA from 1 species